ensembl:rRNA 5S_rRNA 5S ribosomal RNA
UUAAACUAGCUAGCUCUCUGCAACUCUCACAUGGUCGCCAACUGAAGCUAAGCAAGGCUGCACUCGAUCAGUUCCUGGAUGGGAGACCACAUGGAAAAGCUAGGUUGCUGUUGGAA